GUCACCAUUGUUUUCCGUUCAAAUAUUUUAGCCUAAAAUGUAAAAUUCAUUUUGAAUUUUAUUUAAAUUCCUGACAAUUCUCACUUCACUGGAAAACCCUAUAAAGUAUCUGUGCUCAAGAUUACUCCACAGUGAAAGUAUGACAGCUAUUCACAGCCUUUCAUAUCUGAUCAAAGCCGGGCACAUAAUGAGGACAUAAAACAUUACUCGAGAGACAGAGGAAGGGC